rnacentral:sRNA from 1 species
AGCAACCAAGGGUAUUCAGGAUUAUCAGACAUUGGUCAUCCGUCUACAACUAACAAUGGACAUCAAUCUGGAAACAACAGCAAUGGAGAAGGAAGCCAUCAUUCUGGUUCAACUGGGAACGGUGAAAGGACACAUUCUGCCAUGGCAAGGGCAAUACAGGUCCACCAGGACACCCAGAAAGUUAUGUAUUUUGCCUAAUAAAAGAAGACUAUGCACUGCUAUUAGGCUCAAUAAGGAUGAUUGUUACACAUUUCAUUAUUCAUCACAAACACUAUAUUUUAUUUAUCUCAAAUCCCCUGUUUUGUUUUCUGUUUACCCAUUGCUGUGAACAACUUAUGAAGUUUGAGUUUGUUGCACAUACUCAAAAUUUCAAGAUGUUUUGUAUUGUUGUAUAGUGUAGAUUUGUUGCUAUAUUUCACUCACAGAAUAUUUACUCUGCCUUGCUGCAUUUUUAUCUUCUAUGCUGCAAGGACGUUUUUUAAAAGGUCCAGUUACGUAUUAUAAGAAUGUUUUGGAAAGUUGCUUUGAGCGUGUUCACAAUUAUCAACUGAGCUCUGAUUUGUGUUUUUGCUGUGCAAUGGAUUUAUCUGUUAGUUACUUGUUUUGUACUUUAUUUAAUCUCCUCAAAGUCAGCGGAUCAUGCAUGAAAUAAACAUAUCAUGGUCCAGUGGUAAUUCUAAUAAUGUUUAGUACAUGUCUCUCUAUCAAUGUCUUCUGAAACGUUAUGAAAAUGAUUAGUUUGAAUUUAAAUUGUAUGCAGAGACUGGUUUUCUUUACAUCAGGCAACAAUAUAAUUUUAUUAUUGGCGAGUAUCACGUCUUGCACACUUCUAUUAGAUGUGCCUUGCAUAGCAUCUGUCUGUAAAUAAAUAACGACAAAACACAAAACAGAGUCUAGCUUAUGAACAGAAUGGUGGUUAUAACCAUUGUAAUUAUAGGGUACUAACUGGACACCCUCUUAAUAAUGAACAGAUAGGUGUGAUAAUACUAUGCUUUUUACCAAAGCAGUUCGGACUACUCCACCAACAGUCUUUCACAGUGCUUAAUAUCUUGUCAGUUUUGAAGUCUUCAAGCCAUUUUAUGAUUAUAAACAGAAACAUUUACUGGUACUGAUGUAUGGCAAAAGUGACCUGAACUGCUCAACAAAAAAAAAACAAAAACAUCUUCCGAUUUUUAUUUUUAUUUUUCUAAAGUUACAUAUCAAAGAGUUAGGGAUAUAACUGUGCAAAGAUUUAGUCCCGUCAACUCGUUAAUUUAUACGACCUUUGACAUAUCAUUUGUAUAAUGCGUCACACUGCUUAUAUUCCACACAGUGAGUGUCCUAUGUUAGUGGUUUAUGAAUGUAUGCAAUAUAUUGACACCCUCGGCGAAAUAUGCAACAGUAUUCUUACCCAAACUGCUGCAUCUAUGUACCUCUUUAAUGACAUGAAACAGUAAAGUUUUUGAAGCUUUAUCAUAUUUGUUAUUUUGUUAAAAAUAUUGUAGUAUUUCUGGCAGUUAACUGUCAAUUUUAUCAAUGGUAUUUUUUUUUAUUUGAGACUCUCAUUUUGUUUGUUUUGUGGUGAGUUGUACUUUAUUUUUUAGACGUUAUUGAGUAUUUUGACGAGUAUUUAAAUUUGAAAAAAAGUAUAAUCAAUAUAAAGAAGUAUAUCUACUAUUGCCCGGUAUGCGUGGUUAUUUUGACUAAUCACCAGUACCAAUCACCACUUUCGAUGUAUUAUAUCUACUAGUGAUUGUUUAACACUUGUGUAUUGGUGUUGUAAAAAAAAAUAUUUGUAAAAAUCUAAAUUCUGCAUAAAAUAGCAAUCUGACAAAACGAACAGUAAUAGGUUACACAAUACAAUGUUUUCAAAUAUAUUGGGGCUAUAUAACUUGUAGAAAACUUUUUUAAAUAAACUUCAUCUUGUGCUGUAUUUUGAGAGAUCAAGAAUGACAAAUUUGUCUUUUGUAUGUAUGUGGUGUUCGUAAAUUGGGAAAAUAACAUUGACUCUGCUCAGAAUUUGGCUAGAAGGCUGUGAAGGCAUGAAAUGUGUGGCUUAUAAUUUGAGGUGAUAUUCAAGGUUUGGUUGUAAAGAGCAUAUAUUCAGUAAAAAAAAAGUGGAAAAUUUCUUUUUGUUAUUUAAAAUAAAUCUAAGAAAAAAUGCAGUUUUGAUUGAUAAAGAAGAUGCUGAAAUUAAUAUUUCUAUAUAUUUACAUUGGCAGAGGUACCCAACAUGCAAUGUUAAAUAUGAUUAGGUCUAGUUUUGAUUAUAAAAACUGUUUUUGGACAUUUAUGUACAACAACAUCAUGUAAUAAGUUGGAAAUUGAAACUAGUAUGAUCAAUUAACUAACAUGCAAAUCAAAAUUUUAUUGAAAAAAAAAAAAUGUAUUUUAUUACCAUGGCAAUGUUAAAGUUGCACUCUGAGGAUCUUGCAAUACAUUAUCAACAUGGACAGAGUUGAUAUGGUACAAAUACAGCAUUAAUGAAGUCAUGCAAAUUUAUGUAAAUCCAUACAGUUUUCAAGAGCAUUAACUUAUGAAUAUUCAAAUAUGAUGAAGUGCACAAUUUGAAACUAAAGUUGCAGAGCAAUAAAGAGAAUUCCUCAGAUUGCACCUUUAGGUUACCUAACCUUUAUUAUUGAUAGAUAAACUUUAGUGGACGUUCCUUCACACAUUCCACUAUUGUUAAGACAAAUCUUGCAUAAUGCACAUUUAUGUCAAAAAUGUAAUUGCAGUAAAAUGUGAUUUAAAUCUUGAAUUAUUAAAAUUAGUGCCAACUACAUCAAGUGCAGGCUUUACCAUAUUUGCUCUAUUAGUAGUGCACGUGCUCAUGUAAAAACAGGUUUCUAUGGGCAAAAUUUGAUUGCUUCGCUAUAUAGCAAAUAUGAUUUCUUUUUAUAUGCGCUUCUAAUAGAGCAAAUACAGUAUUUGCAGAAUGUCCAUUGAAAGGUUGAAAAUAUAUUUGUGUGUAAUCCAGGCACUUGUUUAUUAUAAGAAGUAAACGUCUGUAAAUUUGAGAAAAUAAACAGUUUCAAGUUUACGCUAAACAUUAUUGAAUUUUUUCAUCAUUUUGCAGCAAUUAAAUGUAGUAGAAAAAAAAGUGAAUAAUGUUAGUAUUUUUAAGCUUCAUGGUCUUCUGAAGGAUUUAGAAAAGGGUUAGUGUCUUGGCCAACUCCUGGGGAUGGAUGGGUGAAAACUCUGUAUUGAUCUUAAAUAUUGGUGUGACUUUGUAUUCACGUCUGUGUUUGGAUUGCAAUAACUUGUUAGCAAUAAUAGUCUGGUUGUUGUUACUAGCAUUGAUCAGUAGAAAUGUCUGUCUGUCAAUAUAUAUAUAUAUUAUUUACUGCUAGUCCAAUAAAGAUAAUUGAAAACAAAAC